UACCGCGGGUGGCGGCUCCGCGUGCUGGAGGCGUUCGUCAUCAUCCUCGCCUUCACGCAGCUGCUCUACGUGCUUGCUCUCCACNNNNNNNNNNUGCCGGGGUCGUCGGCGCGGCAUCCAAGCUCGCCGGAGUGCACCACGUCCGUACCUGGCGUGGGGACAGCCUCGCCACCUCCGCCUCUUCUUCGCUGGUGGCCUGGGCGAUUACCGCCUUGGCCUUCGGGCUGGCGUGCAAGGAGAUCCACGUCGGCGGGUACCGGGGGUGGCGCCUCAGGGUGCUGGAGGCGUUCGUCAUCAUCCUCGCCUUCACGCAGCUCCUGUACGUGCUUGCUCUCCACUCUGGGCUCUUCGGAAACCAGUUUGGUAAUAACAAUGGUGGGUAUCCGGCGGAGCACGCUUACGGCGCCGGCGUCGGUGACCACCACAACAAGGGCAUGGACACCGGCGGCGUCGCAAGGGUCUAAAUAGGAUAGACUUGGCCGUGGCAAGCGACGGGUGGAUAAUAAGUUGUACUGUACUAGUACGUAUUUGUGUUAGUUGUGUCACGUACGGUUAGAGAGCAGAAGAGUAGGUUGUAUGCAUCGUCGAUCCAUGGCAUGGCAGUGGGGUAUGUGUGUGAGCAUAGUACGCAUGUACUACUCAUGGUUCCCUUCUUUUUUUAGGGGGACCUGGUAUUACAUACGCACGUACAUGCAUGUUGUACUACCGGCUGGUUCUUGUUAGUGUUUUAUAAAUGAAUGGAAAAUCUAAGUGGUGCGCCGUGUUCUUACCUAACCAUUCUUUGCAGGUCGUGUUCCUUAAUUUCCAAAUCUUUCUCGAGAUACAUGUCGGCUACACGCAUGGAUCGACAUGAAUCUUCACAAGUUAUGUUAGAUUUUCUAUGUCAAGUUCUAUCUAUUCCAUUUGCAUGUUGUAUUUUUUCUCCAUGUUGUUGGUUCCAUUCUUUCAAAUAAUUUUGCUGGUUCCAUUCUUUCAAAUAAGCCGAACGAGCAGUGAACGUUCCAUUUUUAUAUCUUCAAUUAUUUAUAACUCUUAAUUAUAGCUCCAAGCAAUAAAAAUCCGUCAUGUUAUUCAUGGGCAAUGGAAUUGCAAGUACCCUUUACGAUUGUUUCACCAAAUCUUCAUCCCAUGAGUUUGUGACUGGAUCAAUCCAAGCAAAGAAUCUUUUUUUAAGUUGCACUCGUUAAAUCGCUAUCCUAAAAAUAUUUUGCUCUCAAGAUAACAGCACAUAAGGAGUCAGGGUUGUCAAUGAGACACCACGCUUGUUUUGCUAAUAAUGCAAGGUUGAAAUAAUGUAUAUUUCUGAAACUCAUCCUUCUUUGUUCUUUUGGGACACACAUCUCCCACCAGACCAUUCAAUGCAUUCUUUUUUAUUGUCCUCGUCACCCCAUCAGAAUUGUAAUGCAUUCUUUUUUAUUGUCCUCGUCACCCCAUCAGAAUUGUAACAUCGCGUCAUUCUUUUCUGAUUGUCCUCGUCACCCCAUCAAAAUUGUAACAUCGCGUCAAUGUUUCCUUUAUAAUUUUGUUUAGGAAUUUUAAAGACCACAUGGCAUACACUGCAUGGGAACCCUACCAUGCUGAGUGACACUGGCUAAUAGACACAUGAAAAUUUUACCAAUCUAUCCAUCAUGCUCAAAAGGUCCGGAAAAUACAAAACAUAUUCUGUUUCGUGCGAGAAGGCGAAAGAAGUUUGAAAAAAAAUCAGGCAUGUAUGAUGUCAUCAAUAGAGCAUGUGGUGUUGAUAGGGCGGAAGAGACGGUUCUAGAAUUCUUACUUCUUAUGCAAGAUCAGGAACUAACUAUUCUGGGCAUCCAGAAUGCUCUUACUUCUUAUGCAAGAUCAGGAACUAACUGUUCUGGGCAUCCAGAAUGCACGUGAGUUGAUCACUAUAACAGCUUGGUAUUUGUGGUGGGACAGCCGAAAACUGGUUUAUGAAGGAAAGAUCCAAGAUGCAAAUCAAACUUCAAUGGAAGCUCUUCUUAUGCAAGAUCAGGAACUAACUAUUCUGGGCAUCCGGAAUGCUCUUACUUCUUAUGCAAGAUCAGGAACUAACUAUUCUGGGCAUCCAGANNNNNNNNNNAAAGCUCCGGCCAUAACGACAAAUUUCGUCAAUGCAUAUUCUCCCAAAGCAACCAAUAAGAUUGGGCUUAUUGGGGGAUGGACUAUCACUCGUAGGGGUUUUGUGAAGAUGAACAUUGAUGCCUCUUUUGAUCACGACUUCCUCCAAGGGACGGCUGGGGCGGUUAUUAGAGAUGAUAACGGAAAUUUCAUCGUUGGUGGAUACUGGAGAAUCGAUUGGUGUACUGAUGUCUUAAUAGUCGAAUCUUUGGCUCUAAAGUUUGGACUAUUGCUUGCACAAAAGGCGGAUUGCAAUCACGUGAUAGUAAACUCGGACAAUAUGAAAGUGAUUGAUACAAUGAAUAAUGGAGGACAAUGGGCAGGACCGGCACGACAGUUUUUGAUGACUGCUAUAUUUUGACUUGUGAUUUUCCUCAAAUUAGCUUUCAACGUUGUAAUAGGAAAGCCAAUAAGGUGGCUCAUGAAAUUGCCAGGAUAGCGAAAUUUUCACCCACUAGAGAUUGGUUUGAGGAGCCAAUGAAUGAUAUUGUAUAUUUUCUUUGGACGAUGUAACUAUUAUUUUUAAUUAAUAAAGUAGAAGUUUUAUUUCAAAAAAAUGCGGGGAGGGUUGUAGAACGGGGCACGAUUUUGAGGUGGUGGGUCGGAGGUACAUGGGGAUCACGGACAGGCGCUGCCACUGUUUUAUCUAUGAAAAUUCAUUUUCUAAACUUCUGUUGCUAUACAUCAUGGGUGACUCUGCUACAAUUUGUUUUUGUAUCUUCUGUAACUGAUAACUAGCUCAAUUUGUUCUGGUAAAAUUUUCUAGUAUUUCAAAUAUGUACCCACACUAGUUUCUACAUUACCGGGUGGUUGCCACAUUACCAACUCACCCCCCCACCACCACCACCAAAUUUAAAUCACCACAUAUUAGAAUGGGAUAAGAUGCAUCAUCUAAAAUGUCAUCCAAUUCAACAAUAAAAUCCAUUUUGAACUCAUGGUAAGAAGAACCAUACACAACAACUAAUUGCCACACAAAACCAUCAGCUUUAGAUAUAAUUGUAGAAACCACACCAAACUCUUUAUUUGAGAAACCAUUGACAUCAAAUAUGUCAUUCUUAAAACCAACCAAAAAAACAACCAGCUGUAAAUGCCAAGUAAAUGAACUAAUUUUAUCAAUAGCCUUGCGGGUGCUCAUGAUAGGAUGCAGCUCCACAUACUCCUUUCUUUCAUGAUGGUCCUUCAAAAUCUUCUCCAAUACGCGCUCCCCUUUUUGCUCUGUGCCACUUAUUGGAUCCGAUGUUGUGUUCAAUCAAGAUUUGACCAACAAAAUAUCCUCAUAUCUUGAGAAAGCAAGCCCUCUUGCCUUCAUCGUCUUGCCCUUCUCCUUCUUCUUGGUAGGAUUGGGAACAGAUGUUGCCCCAAUCACAAAAGCGCCCGUCUCCUCCAUUUCAUAUUCUACAUGGACCGGAUCUUCAUUCUCAUUGAUCAUACUUGCCAAGUAUGUCUCCUAGAGGUUCAUGGUUUGCAACCAAUAAUCUUGUGCAAACUAGUGAACUAUGCGAAACAUUAAUCAUUAGAUCGGACAGGAGCAAACGUAUCCGGUGUUGUUGAGACAUUUUGUCGAACAUGUUGAGUGCAAUCCGGGUGGUGGGGUUGACCGUGCUCACCCGCUCCUGAACGAGUUGCAGGGACUCACACUCAUGGACCGACGGCUGCUGCAUGAUCGGAAAGCUCUCCGGAAGGGUCCAGCCGGCCGUCUCAUCCUCCUCCUCCUUGGUCUCGACGGUGUCGAACGACACAAUCCCCGCCGGCGCUUGCAUGGAUGGGGUGAGGGGAGCCUGACGUGUCAGAGGAGACAUCUGGUCGACGAAGCCCGUAUGUACCUAUGCAGCCAACUCCUUCUGUCGCUGUCGGCGGCGGCGCAACUUACGGCGAUGUUCUCCGGCUUGCAAGACGAAGCGGAGGAAGGGUUGCCGACGGACGAGGCGGACUGCGUCUUCGUCGCGGCGGUCGGGGACGGGAUGGAAGACAUCACAGCGGCGGGGUGGUGAGGAUGGAGAGCAAGGGUGUUGGAAGGCGAGGGGUCGAGCGCGGGAAAUGUUGGUGAGCGGCGGGAGGAGGAGGAAGGGUUUGAGGGAUUUAGUGCAAUUUGAGGUAGGGUCGGGUUGUCGGGUCUGAUGUGGCUGGCGUGCCCGAGCGCACCCAGGCUCCUCCAUAUUUGGGCUGAAAAUGAGGGUGUCGGUGAGCCCGAACGUUUGAGGCCGGUUUAAGAUGUCCGUCUAGAUCGAAAUUUUGUAACCGGACGACUUGUCCAAGCGUUGAGGGGUUCGGCUAUAAAUGCUCUUAACCUCAUUUGCGGCAGGCACAUUCAAAAUAUUUAGGAAUGACAUUUGCAUUCGUAUUCAAUCAUGCAAUGACAAACUGUUUGUGCAGAUAGCACAUAGUAUCUAUUUUGGUCAAAUAAACGCCACUACUCUUGCGUUACCUGUUUUGUUUUAGUAUCCCGAUAAAUCCUAAACGGUCGGAUUUUAAACAUGUCAUCGAACGUUUUCUCAUGACAAGUUAAAUUAUAAAAAAAUGUUAUAUUUUCAUUGAGGCGGCAAUUUAGUUGUUAAAACAUAAUAAUUUUGUUCCAGUUUAUUUUAUUAUAAAAAAAUUGUUAUAUUUGCCAAGCUCGCGUGAACUACACUUGUCAUUAAAACCGUUGGGAUUGGCAUGCUUAAAAUCCAUAGGUUUGAGAUUUAUCAUUUUCAUUGUUUAAUGUAAUUUUUUUUUAUCUUAUUGUAGUUAUUAUGGUUGAUGGUAAGAUACUCCUAGAGAAGUAGCCUUGAAGAAUAGCUUUUGUUUUAGAUGUCUUGAAGAAGAGCUUUGACACGGAAGCAAAGCGUACCAACGAGGACCCACACCCGUCUACUUCUACUUUCUACUGGAGUAGUGGUCAGGAAACGCAUUGCCAAGCGGAACCACCCGUACGCUGCCAACUCCAAGCAGCUUCUCCGUGUAGAAGCAGGCACGCGUCGCAGCACCUACAAGCGGCGCAUCACACGUGUCCCACACCUCAAUCCCUACUACACACCUCUCCAUAUAUUCAUCCCACUCCACCACCUCAUCCAGAAAUCAUCAUUCGAUUCGAUUCUUGCUUGCACCAAAUCCAAUCUCAUCAAUCGACCAAAUCCAAUCCAGUGAGACACGCAGCUCCAUCCCCAUCUCGACCUCGACCGAGAAGAAGAGGAAAGAAGCUGGGCAGCAGCAAUGGCGGGCGUCGGUCGCAACAUGGUGGCGCCGCUGCUGGUGCUGAACCUCAUCAUGUACAUCAUCGUCAUCGGGUUCGCGAGCUGGAACCUCAACCACUUCAUCAACGGCAUCACCAACCGCCCCGGCGUAGGCGGCAACGGCGCCACCUUCUACUUCCUCGUCUUCGCCAUCCUGGCCGGCGUCGUCGGCGCCGCGUCCAAGCUCGCCGGCGUGCACCACGUCCGCACCUGGCGCGGCGACAGCCUCGCCACCUCCGCGUCCUCUUCGCUGNNNNNNNNNNGGGGGAAGAAGACCCCCUUUAUAUAGUGGGGGAAAGAAUCAGACCGUUACCCCCACUCUCUGCCCGAGCUCCAGCGGUACUACCGCUGGCUGCAGCGGUACUACCGCUGGCACUCCAGCGGUACUACCGCUGGCCCCAGCGGUACUACCGAUGGGCCCCUGGUGGUGCAAAGGCACUACCACCGCCAAGAAAGUCUUCGCAAAAAGGUCCGUCCACGAACAACCGCUAGGCAGGCGGUACUAAGCUCCUGGAGCGGUACUAUCGCUAACCAGGGGCGGUACUACCGCCAGCCAGCGGUACUACCGCUAGGGCCAGCGGUACUACCGCCAACUCUAGCGGUACUACCGCUAGGUCGAGCGGUACUAUCGCUCGCCACUGAAACAGCCAUAACUUUCGCAUACGAGCUCCGAAUCGAGCAAACCCAAGCUUGUUGGAUUCAGGACGACAAGGGCUAUCCAAACAGCGACUGGAAAUCUUAAGACCAUGCGGUUAUGAAUAUGCCAAAGAUAUAGAGAUGUGAGAUCUCUAUGAAUGAAGAACCGGCAAAAACUCCAACAUCGAAAACAUCAUAGUAGAUGCAUAUGGACUCCGUUUUCGAUGAACUCGAGCUUGUCACGAAGAUGACCAUAAGCUCUAAAACUCACAAAGAGAAACACCAAACAAGAACCAAGAAGUAUGAUGCAAGGAUGCAAAUGGUUUGAGCUCUCAACGAACGAUACGAUCAAGCUACUCACUUGAGAGCCCCCCUUGAUAGAACAGCAAUCUAUCCUAACCAGAAAACCUAUCAAGGGCAGACCUAUACCUUGCACCUCGUCCUCUUGAGCUAGAUGAUGAUGAUCUUGGCUUCCUCAAGAUGGACCACCUUUCUUGAUUGUGUUGGCUUGAUGAAGACUAGUUGAUUGCUCCCCCAUACUCACUAUGGGUGAGCCACUCUUCAGCAUAUCUUCACAAGUCCAUUGCCACCACAAUGGACGGUAAGCUUCAAGCAUGCUAUCUUCGUGCUGAUCCACUUGAACUUGCACAUCGCAAUCUUGAUGACGAUCACAACUUGACGUCAUACUCCAUGGGUUGUAUGAGAUCUUCCCUUUGACGCAAGCCCAUGUAAACACACCUAACCCCACAUAGAACUCUCACGAAGACCAUGGGUUAGUACACAAACACGUAAUGGACAAUGCUUACCAUACCAUGGGAUCACUUGAUCCCUCUCGGUACAUCUUGUACGCUUUNNNNNNNNNNUGGUCAUCAUAUAAACUCCUUGAACCCAACAGAUGAACUUCAAGAAGUGCCUAUGGACAAAUCCAUACCAUGGGAUCACUUGAUCCCUCUCGGUACAUCUUGUACGCUUUGUGUAUUGAUCAUCUUGAUUUACUCUUUGUCUGAGAUCUUGAUCAACCAUGUGUCUCUAUGACCAUUCUUUGGAUAAUACCUUGAAUACCAUCUUGGUCAUCAUAUAAACUCCUUGAACUCAACAGAUGGACUUCAAGAAGUGCCUAUGGACAAAUCCUAUAAAUGUAACUUAAGGCAACCAUUAGUCCAUAGGAAUUGUCAUCAAGUACCAAAACCACAUAUGGAGAUAUAUGCUCCAACAGAGGGGGCAGAGCACGGGCGCGAGGUUGUGCCUGCGAGGUCGCUCCGGCGGACGGUCCGGUGGAAGGUGAGGGUGGCGUUCGUGGCCGGUGGGGGCAACGGGGGUCAGCGGCUUGGUUGGUGGCGGUGGACGGGAUGGCGCUGGAGUCGGCAAUGGCGAGGUGGGGAAACAGGGGAGGGGGCAGACACGGACAGUUGUGGGGCGUUAAUUGGAGUGGAUUACGCGCGGGAUUUAGGAAAUACGGUUUUAGUUUCUAAAUCGCAGAUGAAUCUGGAGCGUCGGGAUUCUUCUGGAUCGACGGGAGAAGAUGGGUCUGACGAUUGGAAUCGUUCCAGACUAUGGAUACUAAGUGUUUUCCUUAUUUUUAUGUGCAAAAAGUUGAAAAGACCCUCGUGUUUACUUGAAGCUAAAUGGUAAGCGCCGAGGAAGGAAGAUGAUAAGAUUGCAUGGAGCGAGCAGUGCAACUUAAUUAGGAUCCAAGGAAACGUACGUUUGCGUUACGUGAGCUGAUUAUUCUACUACUAGUUCUAGUUCUAGUUCUAGUGUGGUGGUGGUAAAACUAUAAACCGUGGGCGGUGGGCACGCCACGUACGUACGGUCUCCAAGCCGCUGCUGGAAGCGUCUGCCAACGGCUGGAAGAAGCAGAGUGUAAAGCCCAUGCACCACGCGUCACGCCACCUUCGUCCGCGUCACACGUGUCCCUUCGAUACAUUCUAUAUAAGAAACCUUGGCACCUCAUCCACAAAUCACAUCCAUCCUCGUACGUCUAGCUAGCAAUCAACCUCCAAUCACAACUUGAUUUCUUCCAACCCAACCUAGUUAGUUCUCAGCAGUGAGUGGCAGACACAGAGCUCCGUCUCGAUCCAUCUCCACGGAAUCAAGAAGAUAUAUCAACAAUGGCGGGCGUCGGUCGUAACAUGGUGGCGCCGCUGCUGGUGCUGAACCUCAUCAUGUACGUCAUCGUCAUCGGGUUCGCGAGCUGGAACCUCAACCACUUCAUCAACGNNNNNNNNNNNNNNNNNNNNNNNNNNNNNNNNNNNNNNNNNNNNNNNNNNNNNNNNNNNNNNNNNNNNNNNNNNNNNNNNNNNNNNNNNNNNNNNNNNNNNNNNNNNNNNNNNNNNNNNNNNNNNNNNNNNNNNNNNNNNNNNNNNNNNNNNNNNNNNNNNNNNCGCCGGGGUCGUCGGCGCAGCAUCCAAGCUCGCCGGCGUGCACCACGUGCGCACCUGGCGCGGCGACAGCCUCGCCACCUCCGCGUCCUCUUCGCUGGUGGCCUGGGCCAUCACCGCAUUGGCGUUCGGGCUGGCGUGCAAGGAGAUCCACAUCGGCGGAUACCGUGGGUGGCGUCUCAGGGUGCUGGAGGCGUUUGUCAUCAUCCUCGCCUUCACGCAGCUGCUCUACGUGCUUGCUCUCCACUCCGGGCUCUUCGGGAACCAGUUCGGUGACCAUGCUGGCGGUGGUGGGUAUCCGGCGGAGCACGGCGGAUAUGGCGCCGGCGACCCGCACAACAAGGGCAUGGCCACCGGCGGCGUCGCCAGGGUCUGAAGAAUCGGAUAGAUGAUCUCGCCGUGGCAGCGACGGGUGGAUAAUAAAUUGUACUGUGCUAGUACGUAUUUGUGUUAGUUGUGUCACGUACGUACGGUGUGAGUGUNNNNNNNNNNAGGAUAUGGCGCCGGCGACCCGCAUAAAAAGGGCAUGGGCACCGGCGGCGCGGCCAGGGUCUAAUUAAGGCGCCGGUGAUCGAUCUGGGUGUGGUCAGGACCUCGGAUAAUAAGUACUAUGUGUGGUGUUAGUGUGUGUCACGUACGGUGUCGAUGUGGCCUAGUACGUAGUAGUGUUGUUGUAUGCAUACAUGUGCGUGUGCGUGUGCGUGUGUGUGUGUGUGCAUGGCUGUAGACAUGUACAUAUGCCUAGUGUAGUGGGUGUGGGUGUGGGUGUGGGUGUUCUUUUUUGGCAAGGACGCUAGGUACUUACUUGCCUACUACGCACUCACACAUGGUUUGUUUAUACGCUGUGUCCGGUGAGCAGCUUUGCGAUCUACUACUAAUCGGAUGGAUGCUGCCUCAUCCCGGCAUUGUCUGCACCAAUUUGCUUGCAUGAUCAAUCAAUCAAUUGCUUCUUCAGUUUGUGGCCGUCAUGUCUUUUUUUAUUUUAUUUUUUGAAUGAAAGGGGUUUCUUGCCCCAUUUUAUUAAAUGGAGCAAGAUAGUCUCAUAGUUAAGAAUCCUCAACAGCCACUACAAAAAACACUGAUAUAAAUAUAUUUUCCUACUUCUCCAAGAUCGGCUACAAUAUGAAUGGCCGUACGUCAUGUCCCCUUCCAGUACUACUGUAUUGUGCAGUGGUAUUAGUACAGCACGUUCGGUUCGAAUACGUACAUAUGGGUAUUGAUGUUGCUCGGAUGCGUACAUACAUUUACGUACGCAUGUGCGUGUCAGUGUCACGGUUCAUGUGCUGCCUCCACUUGAUCGCCGGCGGUGUCAACACACGCAAUAUGCUACCUUGGGAACAAGAAAGAUACACUAUUGAUUUUUAUAGAUAGAUAGUACAUUCAUAUUUCUGUGUUCUCCGAACUAGAUAGCCAAGUCAAGUAACAGGGUUGGGGCAUCUUAUGAAGAAUCAAAUCAAAAAGGAAAUACUCCGCGUAUUAAAUUUGUCUCAAACUUGCGAAGUUUGAUCUUUUUUCAUUUUGAGAAAUCAACGGGAGAAUAUAUAGAAAGUAUAUUCAUCAUGCAGAAUAAGUUAUUCUUCAUCCGAGGUAAUCUCAUAAUGGUUUCAUAAAUAAAUUACAUUUAAAAUACAAAUAAUUACAUUUAUAAUAAUUCACUACGUAAACUUUGACAUAAGAAAAUAAAAAUAUAGGUUAUAAGAUAAAAAAUCAUAUUUUAUGUAGUAUAAUUUAUACUAUGCUUUUGUUUUUAUAUUUGUACAUGACAUAAAAUAUUUUUAUGAUGACUAUAUUUUUUUUACAGUCUCUUCUUACGUAUAAAAUAAAUAAAAAAUCUGAAACUUAAAAUUAUGAUGCAUCUAUAUAAAAAUAGAGGACGAUGAAGAAUAAAUAUUCCUUAUCCAGGGUGACAAAUAGUCAAUCCAGGAUUUGCUAGGGUUUCUCUCCUCUUAGGCGAUCGCGACCGACUCUGAGUUUACCACCCCUGAUGUCCUGCCUCGCAAGGUUCUGCUUCUCAAAUUGGAUCCUCUAGACACGACGGGAUGGCAUCUCCUUUGGAUUGUUUGACACUUCAAAAUGGAGCCCUGGCCACAAAUCCACAAGACAUUUCAAAUUAGUGACGACCAGUCGGUCUACCCGUCUCUCGAACAACCUUCCCUGCAUCGCCCCAGAAUCGGAUCCUCUAGACACGACGGGAUAGCUUGACAUAUGCCAAUCUGGCUUCAUAUCCACAAGUUGCCAGAUGCAUACUAUAAUCAGAUUUAGUUGAGAAACUUUUGAAAGAUGCUGGGGAAAUUUUGGAGAUGCGGUUAAAUGGCAACAGUCGUGGCGACUAUGUUUGCAUAUGGAGAAUCAUGAUUUAAAUAAUUUUGAAUUUCCAACAAGGAAAUAUUUAGUUAUUAUUGUUUGUAGCACUGUACGAUGGUAAAUGGGAUGCAUCUGAAAAAUUAUAUACUGACGCCUAAUAUAUGUAUAAAUGUGUUGUACUUGAAAACAAUAGGUAUGACGAUUAAUGACAAAUGAUAUUUCAAAUUGUUACGUAUGAGUUGCGAAUAUAGAUUAUGCACUUAAUGCAAGAAUUUAAAAUUUAAAAAUAUGCUACCUCAGUAUUAUAGUGUAUGUGAUCAAUGUGUUUGUCCAAACACACCUACGUUGCACAUGUGCACGUUUACUAUAAAUCAUUGUCGGUGCAACUGACUCAUGAGUUCCUUGUGGCAUAUCGGCUAGACGAUCCAUAUUUAGUAUGGCAAUACGUUUGGAAAAUGUGAUGUGGGUUUAGUCUUCAGACGUUAGGGAUUAUAAGUUUAAAUUGAAAUAAUAGGAUGAAUACAAAUUCAGGAUUUGGAACAAACCUAACGCAUAUAUUUUUUAAAGAAUACACAUGCACGAUUACUAGUCAACGAGUAGGAUCAAAUUGUAAUGCAUGAGAGCCUUGCAAGACCAAACGUUUAAUUUAAUUUAAUCGAGGAAGGGUGUGGAACCACCCGUACGCUGUCAACGGCUACUCGAAACAGCUACCGUAUGUGUAGUGUAAAGCCCCCAAAGCGGCACGGCACGCGUCGCACCACCCGUGAGCGGCGCAUCACACGUGUCCAACUCCCUCCUCCACACCUCUCCAUAUAUUCCAUUUCCAUCCCACUACACUCCACUGCACAACCUCAUCCACAAGUCAUCAUACUCCAUUCGGUUCGAUUCUUGCUUGCACCAAAUCCAAUCCCACUCCCACUCUCAUCGUCAAUCGAGCGAGUGACACCGACAGAGCUCCAUCCCCAUCUCUCUCCCUCUCUGGACCAACAACGACAAGAAGAAGAAGAAGAAGCUGGGCAGCAGCAAUGGCGGGCGUCGGUCGCAACAUGGUGGCNNNNNNNNNNAAUUUAGUUUGGCAACCAUGCUGGUGGUGGAUAUCCGGCGGAGCACGCGUAUGGCGCCGGCGCCGGCGCCGGCGACCCGCACAACAAGGGCAUGGGUCUAAUUAAGGCGCCGGUGUUGGAUCUCGGCAUGGUGGAGGGCUCGGAUAAUAAAUACAGUACAGUAGGUUAGGUACGGUCGUGGACUGGCAGUGGUGGUGGUGUGUGUGCAUGCUUGCAGACAUGUACUACAUGUUGUACCUUACUUAGUGGGUGUGUUGUUUUUGGUACGUAUUCCUGGUUUAAUUUAAUUGCUUAUUAAGUUGUGUCCAUGGAAUGCUUUGCAAUGUUGUCAUCUCCGGCUGCUGCCGGCAAUGUGUGCACGGGUCAGUUUGUGUGCGGCCAUGCAUGUGUGUUAGUAGUAGUAUCAACUCUUUUCUCUUCCAAGUACUACUAAUAAUAGUACUAGUAGCAAACAUAACUUCGUGCCCUCCAGUGCGCGCACCCACCCACGGCCCGACCGGCUUGGU
rnacentral:lncRNA from 1 species